rnacentral:rRNA from 1 species
AUGCACGCUGGCGGCGUGCCUAAUACAUGCAAGUCGAGCGAGCGGACGAGAAGCUUGCUUCUCUGAUGUUAGCGGCGGACGGGUGAGUAACACGUGGAUAACCUACCUAUAAGACUGGGAUAACUUCGGGAAACCGUAGCUAAUACCGGAUAAUAUUUUGAACCGCAUGGUUCAAAAGUGAAAGACGGUCUUGCUGUCACUUAUAGAUGGAUCCGCGCUGCAUUAGCUAGUUGGUAAGGUAACGGCUUACCAAGGCAACGAUGCAUAGCCGACCUGAGAGGGUGAUCGGCCACACUGGAACUGAGACACGGUCCAGACUCCUACGGGAGGCAGCAGUAGGGAAUCUUCCGCAAUGGGCGAAAGCCUGACGGAGCAACGCCGCGUGAGUGAUGAAGGUCUUCGGAUCGUAAAACUCUGUUAUUAGGGAAGAACAUAUGUGUAAGUAACUGUGCACAUCUUGACGGUACCUAAUCAGAAAGCCACGGCUAACUACGUG